ACCGACAUCAAUGAUUCAUUCUGCGAACCAUGGCCAACAGCCAGAUAAGAGUGCAUUCCCAGCUCUUUCAUUUGCUGCUCGCCAAUCACGCGAGUGACGAUAUUGGUGCUAAAUGCAUCGGCCAAUUGGCGCGCCUGAGACGCCAGAUAUGCGGCGUUACAAAUGUUUGGCGGCAUAUUACCCAGAUCUUUGG
rnacentral:antisense_RNA from 1 species